UACGUAGGAUGCAAGCGUUUGUCCGGAUUUACUGGGCGUAAAGGGCGCGCAGGCGGCACUACAAGUACUGGGUGAAAUCUCCCUGCUCAACGGGGAGGGUGCUUAGUAGACUGUAGAGCUAGAGGUGGGUAGAGGGUGGUGGAAUUGCUGGUGUAGCGGUGAAAUGCGUAGAUAUCAGGAGGAACACCUGUGGUGUAGACAGCUUACUGGACCACUUCUGACGCUGAGACACGAAAGCGUGGGUAGCAAACAGG
rnacentral:rRNA from 1 species